UUCUGUUGAUUUUAAUUUCUGUUUAAUCUUUAUUAAUAUUUUGUAAUACUAAUGCUAUUGAUUUGUAUUUUUGGUUUUGAAUAUUCGACGGAAGUGGAUUGGCAUCAUCCUGGUAAGGUAAAACUCGGUGGCUAAUUUGAUCUGUUGGUUGGAAAAAUUUGGCUAAAGAUGUUCACUGAUACUUCAGUCCAUGUGUAAAUGAUACUUUUGAUUGUAAAUGGAUAUUCAGUUUCCUUUGGAGGUGUGCUAAAGGUCCGUAGAUUUUAUAAUCCUAACGUUGAGAAUGGUUUCUUAUAAGAAGAGUUGUGGAGGAACGUAAAUCGAUGGAAAAAGCAAUCGAGUUACCAUCAAGGAAUCAAGUAGACAGUGACAUCAAUUGGACGCUAUAUCAAGUAAU